AGAAAUACAUCUUUCAGUCACAUUGUUCUCCUCUUUCUCUCUUAUUCACAGGAGGAUCUGAUCAUGCCUCGGUAGAUUUCAACUAUUCGCUAUAUUCGACAGCCAAGAAGCAAAUAAAUAAUGUAGGACGAAGUAAAGAUCGAAGCAAGAGUGAUAGGCAGGAAAGACGAUCUAACGUCCGCAGUGAUUGAGAUUCGAAGAGAAUGUGAUGAAGAACUCAUAGCCACAGGGAGGCUGUGGAUGGUACAACGACGUAGCCUCAAUGUCAAACAUAAUGGUGUUGAUGUACCUACCAAGCUCUAAUGGCUCUAGUGUGUUGGAUAAGAAUAAUUCCAAUCCAUGGACUGUUCUCUUGAUUACUAUUGUAUGUAAUGUCGUAGAAAUAUUUGUUUCCAUCUUGUAAUUUUAUUUCUUCAGAUAUAUAAUUGCUGUCACGAGAGUAAA